GACGAACCGUCCAAACGUUAUUCGGUAUCACUGGGCUUAAAGGGUGCGUAGGCGGUCUGGUAAGUUGGGUGUGAAAUCCCUCGGCUCAACCGAGGAACUGCGCCCAAUACUGCCGGACUCGAGGGAGGCAGAGGUAAGCGGAACUUGCGGUGGAGCGGUGAAAUGCAUUGAUAUCGCAGGGAACACCAGUGGCGAAGGCGGCUUACUGGGCCUUUUCUGACGCUGAGGCACGAAAGCUAGGGGAGCGAACGGG
rnacentral:rRNA from 1 species